rnacentral:rRNA from 1 species
GAUGAACGCUGGCGGCGUGCCUAAUACAUGCAAGUCGAGCGAACAGACGAGGAGCUUGCUCCUUCGACGUUAGCGGCGGACGGGUGAGUAACACGUAGGUAACCUACCUAUGAGACUGGGAUAACUUCGGGAAACCGGCGCUAAUACCGGAUAAUAUUUCGAACCGCGUGGUUCGAUAGAGAAAGAUGGCUUUGCGAUCACUUCUAGAGGGACCUGCGCCGUAUUAGCUAGUUGUUAAGGUAACGGCUUACCAAGGCAACGAUACGUAGCCGACCUGAGAGGGUGAUCGGCCACACUGGAACGGAGACACGGUCCAGACUCCUACGGGAGGCAGCAGUAGGGAAUCUUCCGCAAUGGGCGAAAGCCUGACGGAGCAACGCCGAGUGAGUGAUGAAGGUCUUCGGAUCGUAAAACUCUGUUAUUAGGGAAGAACAAACGUGUAAGUAACUGUGCACGUCUUGACGGUACCUAAUCAGAAAGCCACGGCUAACUACGUG